UCUCUGUUAGUAUAUCGAUUAGUACAUGCGCCUGUCACGAUGUUGUACCUGCGUACCUGUCUCCAGCUGUGUCCGCGCGAAAGCGGGGUUCGACUCCCCAACAGAGAG